GAACACACAGAGACAAACAGAGUAAGAUAUAUGAUGAUAUAAUAUA
rnacentral:guide_RNA from 1 species